UAGGGAAUCUUCGGCAAUGGACGGAAGUCUGACCGAGCAACGCCGCGUGAGUGAAGAAGGUUUUCGGAUCGUAAAGCUCUGUUGUUAGAGAAGAACGUUGGUAGGAGUUGAAAAUCUACCAAGUGACGGUAACUAACCAGAAAGGGACGGCUAACUACGUGCCAGCAGCCGCGGUAAUACGUAGGUCCCGAGCGUUGUCCGGAUUUAUUGGGCGUAAAGCGAGCGCAGGCGGUUCUUUAAGUCUGAAGUUAAAGGCAGUGGCUUAACCAUUGUACGCUUUGGAAACUGGAGGACUUGAGUGCAGAAGGGGAGAGUGGAAUUCCAUGUGUAGCGGUGACAUGCGUAGAUAUAUGGAGGAACACCGGUGGCGAAAGCGGCUCUCUGGUCUGUAACUGACGCUGAGGCUCGAAAGCGUGGGGAGCAAACAGG
rnacentral:rRNA from 1 species